GGCUGUUUAAGAAAGUGGUUAUUCUGCACGUCUUACGCACGUGAAGUCGGCGGUUCGAACCCGUCAACAGUCA